AAGUACAUUGUAGUUCUUUGAAAUUUUGAAAUGGCUCAAUUUAAGUCAUCUCUAGUUAGAUUGGUCAUGAUUAAAGUGUAUUUAUUGCAUGUGUGUAGUUUUUUUGUGUUAUAUGAUGACUUUAAAAGUUGUUUUUUGUGUAUUCUCCAGGAACUCAUUUGUUGGUGGAAGGAUUAAAGAUGUACUACCCACCAGCUGUCAGGAGUUUUUAAAGUGGUGAAUUUAAACAGUGUUACAACAGAAUGAAGAUUUCUGAAAAAAGUAGAUGGCUAACCUAUUAUAUUUUGGGCCUCAUUGUGCUUAGAUAGUGUUAAUGUUUAAAGUUGAAGACAGUAUAUAAUUCAUCAAGAACAGUGGAAUCCAGAAUUAAGCCUCAAAUUUGACUGAUUUACUAUAGAACAAAUAGUACGAAAUUUCACCGGGCCGCGUCCAAUAUAAGAAAUGAGGAAAAUGGGAACUGGUUGAUGGAUAUGGAUGAAACUUUGCAUCAGUGUUGUGUUUAUGAAUAGAAGUCAGGAAAAUAAAGGAUAACUGACAGACUGUGCAGUUACCAAAGCCUGGGUUUGAGUACAGGACCUUACCUUAUCCUGGUAAAGAUCUAUGGAAGGACUCCUUCAGCUCAGUUUGGCAGCAGCUUUGUCAGGACACAUUGAGAAG